AUCUGCAGUUUCUGUUGCUGAGGAAGAAGAGGGCAAAGGUUCUGCGAAGUUUCUGCCAGUAUCCUCAGUGCAGUUCAGAAAUCACCUGCCUGUGAUCUCAGCACAUUUGAUAUUAAAGACACCAUCGUCCCAGGAGUCAAGAACUUCCAGGAGAGUUCUGGGGGGGCCAUCGUUCCCUCAAAAGCUCUCCGCAACCAUCUUCGCGACGCUUUGGUGCCCACGUGGCACUGAGGACGACGGUGACAGCUUUCACAAUGGUUAAAGCAUGAGCAAGUGUUCCUCCAAGAAUCAAUUGCACCUCCCAGGUACGGACACGAGAAGUCUGAGACCCGAAGGAGGCCCUGGCCGAACCCUGCCAGCACCCUGACCCCAGCGGCCAGCCUCCAACCUCUGAGGACUACAUUUCUGUUGUUCACAACAGCCAGUCUGUGGUUACUGUAGCCUAACAACCAAGUACAGCCACUCAGAUUCAACAUGUACUUGGCUGUCUCCUGUCUCCACUCCCCGCCCAGAUAUAUGGGCAUGCAUGCGUGUGCGUGUAUAAAGAUUUUGGGGAAGGAGGAAAA